UGGGAACGCGAAGAACCUUACCAGGUCUUGACAUCUGCCGGAUCCCGUAGAGAUACGGGAGUGCCCUUCGGGGAGGCGGCAAGACAGGUGGUGCAUGGUUGUCGUCAGCUCGUGUCGUGAGAUGUUGGGUUAAGUCCCGCAACGAGCGCAAUCCUUGUGAUUAGUUGCUACGCAAGAGCACUCUAAUCAGACUGCCGUUGACAAAACGGAGGAAGGUGGGGACGACGUCAAAUCAAUCAUGCCCCUUAUGAUCUGGGCUACACACGUACUACAAUGGCCGUCAACAGAGGGAAGCAAGACCGNGAGGUGGAGCGAACCCCUAAAAACGGUCUACAGUUCGGAUCGCAGGCUGAAACCCCGCCUGCGUGAAGCUGGAAUUGCUAGUAAUCGCGGAUCAUCAUG
rnacentral:rRNA from 1 species